AGUUGGGUCACCCUGGCAGCUGUGUGGAGGAUGAAAGCAAGGGAGGCAAUUCAACACACUGCCAUCAUGGGGUGGCAUGGUCCUUCUGCUGUGUUCUGAGAGGAGUUGGGAAGACCAUUUGCAAUCAUCCUCUUCUCUAAGCAAAGCAUAAAGAGAACAAGACCUGCCCAUGAUUGCCUCUUUUAAGGCCUUGCGUAAUCACAGAGAAUGACAAUAGGCUGGAGGUGACCCCAGCUGGCCCUCCACUGCUGCUGUUGGACACGUUGAUAGCACAGGGCAGAGAGUGUGAUGGAGGCCUGUGGGGACAUUUGGUUGUUGAACUUUUCAAAGUCCAAAUGAUGCUGGCCAUAAAGGAAAGGGCCUGAAGGCUCCAGGGCUAUUCCUUAUGUGAACAGUAAAUUCUCAAGAAGAGGGGAUAGAAAGCUGCAUUAGGGUCUAUGUCAUGCAGACUGGAGUAGAGUGGCACGAUCUGGGCUUCUUGCAACCUCCACAUCCUGGGCUUAAGUGAUCCUCCUACCUCAGCCUGCUGAAUAGCUGGGACUGCAGGUGUGAGCCACCAUGCCUGGCUAAUUUUUGUAGAGGCUGGGUUUCACCAUGUUGCCCAGGCUAACCUCAAACUCCUGGGCACAAGCGAUCCAACCAUCUUGGCCUCCCAAAGUGCUGGGAUUACAGGUGUGAGCCACCAUGCCCUGCCAUCAAUUUUCAAUAAAAGACAUGAACCUUGGAAGUCCUAAACUGUCAUGGAAGACACACAGCUGAAGUGAUCUUGCUGGAGAGACCAUGCAGAGAGACAACGUGGAGACAGAGAAACAUGUGGGAGGAUCCUCAGCUGCUCUGGCCACCAGAUGCCUCAGUCUCUCUGGGCCCAGAGGAGAAGUAUGGUAUUUUAUGAGAAGACAUGCUAUGAAUGAUGAAAGGCUCGAUUUCAGCAAGUCACAGGCAGAAAAGUCCAAAACAAUUGAAUAGAACUGCAGCAUUGUUGAAAACUUGGACUGGAAUUUACACUAUUAGCAACUCUCCUGGUUCUCAAGCCUUCAAAUUUAGACUGCAUCUAUACUUUCCUGGGUCUCCAGCUUGCUGACUGCAAAUAUUGGGACUUCUCAGCCAUCGUAAUCAUUGCCUGCAUUGGCCCAAAAUUCAACUCUUAUUUCAGUUUUCUACCUCACUGCAAUACCUUCUGAACAUCUUUACAAUGUCAGCAUCCAAUUUCACA